GGGGAUGUAUCUCAAAGGUGGAGUAUUUGCCUAGCAUGUAGGAGGUUCUGGGUUCAAUCCCAGCAUCACCA
rnacentral:tRNA from 1 species